UAACAUGUUCCAACCCGGCUUAUUCCAAAAUAAAGGAAGCCCUGGUCACCGGAAUUCUUGGACAAUAGGGGCCUUAGCUAUAUGCAUGGCAUAGCUGCGCAAUACAACCACUGCUUCUUUUUUCAAUGAAUUGUUUUAGUCACUUUACACACACUGAUCCACAUGGUUUUUGCUCUUCAGAUAAUGGAUAAACAAGGUGGGUUUUUUAACUCAGAACUGUCCCAAGUGAUAUUUAAGAUCUUUUCAACUGUUUCCUUCCCUUUUCUUCUUUAUUAUUAUCAUUUUCCUGAAGGACAUGAUACAAACAAAUAGCCUACUUAACAUCUCUUCGAUUCUUGUAAAAUUCGCAGGACUUGGCUUGUCCAACAUGAAAAAGAAGAAAUAAAGUCACACCCGCUAUGCCAGAGCUUUGAAGUAAAUAAAAAUGGGAAAAUGAGGGUUUCUCAUAUACUUGCUGUGAAUCUUCUUUUUCUGCAGUUUCAGUCGGCUUCUUUGUUCUUCAGUCAAUGUCCAAGUGGUUCCUCCAGUUUCACAACAUAAACCAAGUGAUAAUAUGAGAAUUCAAAUCAUUAUUCUGCAGUUGAACAGUAAGUACAGAUUUAGCUUAAACCUGUUUUCUUAAAAAAAAAAAGUUAAGUUGAAGAGAAAAUAAUGGAAAAGUGAGGUUUGCUGAUUUAGGCUUCCUUCUUCUUUUCGCCCUGAAGUUUCUUUCAACUGGGUUUUUGUUCUUCAGUCAAAGUCUAUAUAAAGUGGUUAUUCCAGAAUUCCCAAUAAAGUCCAAGUGAUAAUAUGAGAAUUCAUCAAAUGAU
rnacentral:lncRNA from 1 species